UUAUUGGAGAGUUUGAUCCUGGCUCAGGACGAACGCUGGCGGCGUGCCUAAUACAUGCAAGUCGAGCGAAUCUGAGGGAGCUUGCUCCCAAAGAUUAGCGGCGGACGGGUGAGUAACACGUGGGCAACCUGCCUGUAAGACUGGGAUAACUUCGGGAAACCGGAGCUAAUACCGGAUAAUCCUUUUCUACUCAUGUAGAAAAGCUGAAAGAUGGCUUCGGCUAUCACUUACAGAUGGGCCCGCGGCGCAUUAGCUAGUUGGUGAGGUAACGGCUCACCAAGGCGACGAUGCGUAGCCGACCUGAGAGGGUGAUCGGCCACACUGGGACUGAGACACGGCCCAGACUCCUACGGGAGGCAGCAGUAGGGAAUCUUCCGCAAUGGACGAAAGUCUGACGGAGCAACGCCGCGUGAGUGAUGAAGGUUUUCGGAUCGUAAAACUCUGUUGUUAGGGAAGAACAAGUACCGUUCGAAUAGGGCGGUACCUUGACGGUACCUAACCAGAAAGCCACGGCUAACUACGUGCCAGCAGCCGCGGUAAUACGUAGGUGGCAAGCGUUGUCCGGAAUUAUUGGGCGUAAAGCGCGCGCAGGUGGUUUCUUAAGUCUGAUGUGAAAGCCCCCGGCUCAACCGGGGAGGGUCAUUGGAAACUGGGAGACUUGAGUGCAGAAGAGGAAAGUGGAAUUCCAAGUGUAGCGGUGAAAUGCGUAGAGAUUUGGAGGAACACCAGUGGCGAAGGCGACUUUCUGGUCUGUAACUGACACUGAGGCGCGAAAGCGUGGGGAGCGAACAGGAUUAGAUACCCUGGUAGUCCACGCCGUAAACGAUGAGUGCUAAGUGUUAGAGGGUUUCCGCCCUUUAGUGCUGCAGCAAACGCAUUAAGCACUCCGCCUGGGGAGUACGGCCGCAAGGCUGAAACUCAAAGGAAUUGACGGGGGCCCGCACAAGCGGUGGAGCAUGUGGUUUAAUUCGAAGCAACGCGAAGAACCUUACCAGGUCUUGACAUCCUCUGACAAUCCUAGAGAUAGGACGUUCCCCUUCGGGGGACAGAGUGACAGGUGGUGCAUGGUUGUCGUCAGCUCGUGUCGUGAGAUGUUGGGUUAAGUCCCGCAACGAGCGCAACCCUUGAUCUUAGUUGCCAGCAUUCAGUUGGGCACUCUAAGGUGACUGCCGGUGACAAACCGGAGGAAGGUGGGGAUGACGUCAAAUCAUCAUGCCCCUUAUGACCUGGGCUACACACGUGCUACAAUGGAUGGUACAAAGGGCUGCAAGACCGCGAGGUUUAGCCAAUCCCAUAAAACCAUUCUCAGUUCGGAUUGCAGGCUGCAACUCGCCUGCAUGAAGCCGGAAUCGCUAGUAAUCGCGGAUCAGCAUGCCGCGGUGAAUACGUUCCCGGGCCUUGUACACACCGCCCGUCACACCACGAGAGUUUGUAACACCCGAAGUCGGUGGGGUAACCG
rnacentral:rRNA from 1 species